UAUGGGGUGCUACGGCUGAGAUCAUACCCAUUGAACCUGUUCAGAUAAUGCUGACGAAGGGAUAUAUAU
rnacentral:ncRNA from 1 species